UGCCUAAUACAUGCAAGUCGAACGGGGAAAGUCGCAAGAUGAGUACUAGUGGCGCACGGGUGAGUAACACGUGGAUAAUCUUCCUUUGAGUGGGGAAUAACUAAUCGAAAGAUUGGCUAAUACCGCAUAAGACCACAGGUCCCACGGGACAAGGGGUUAAAGCAGCAAUGCGCUCGAAGAUGAGUCCGCGUCGGAUUAUGGUAGUUGGUGGGGUAAUGGCCUACCAAGCCGACGAUCCGUAGCUGGUCUGAGAGGAUGAUCAGCCACACUGGAACUGAGACACGGUCCAGACUCCUACGGGAGGCAGCAGUAGGGAAUAUUGGACCCUGGGGGAAACCCUGAUCCAGCAACGCCGCGUGAGUGACGCUUUCCUUCGGGUUGUAAAGCUC
rnacentral:rRNA from 1 species